rnacentral:rRNA from 1 species
AUUGAACGCUGGCGGCAUGCCUUACACAUGCAAGCCGAGCGGCAGCGCGGGGGCAACCCUGGCGGCGAGCGGCGAACGGGUGAGUAAUGCAUCGGAACGUGUCCUCUUGUGGGGGAUAACCAGUCGAAAGACUGGCUAAUACCGCAUGAGCUCGAGAGAGGAAAGCAGGGGACCGCAAGGCCUUGCGCGAGAGGAGCGGCCGAUGCCGGAUUAGCUAGUUGGUGGGGUAACGGCCCACCAAGGCGACGAUCCGUAGCUGGUCUGAGAGGACGACCAGCCCCACGGGGACUGAGACACGGCCCAGACUCCUACGGGAGGCAGCAGUGGGGAAUUUUGGACAAUGGGGGAAACCCUGAUCCAGCCAUGCCGCGUGAGUGAAGAAGGCCUUCGGGUUGUAAAGCUCUUUCGGCCGGGACGAAAUCGCACGCGUGAAUAUCGCGUGUGGAUGACGGUACCGGAAGAAGAAGGACCGGCUAACUACGUGCCAGCAGCCGCCGUAA